CUGAGCAUGUUGAAGUAUGCACUGGGAAAGCAAACGAUUCGCCAUUUGAAGAAGAACUACAUGCAGUUGGUGAAGAUAUUUGUGAAUCCCAGUCUCCAUGUAAAUCGUGCCAUCGUCUUAAGAAAAAACUUACAUCUUUACAAAAGACUUUAAGCUGGUAUAAAAAGACUAAAGCAUCUUUGAAGAAAAAGGCCCAGAAGUUGCAAAAUGAAUAUCGAAGCGAAAUCAGGGAAAAUCGUAAUACAUCCGUGGUGACCAGCAUUAAUAUAGACGAUGGAAUGCAGGAGAGUGCUGAAGAGCUUUUCGAAGGAGAAUCAUACAUGGACUACUACUCUUUCAAAGAGUGUAGUCAGAGUGAAGAUUUAGAUGAAGAUACCACAAGUAAUACAGUCAGAAUUGAUGAAGGAGCAAGCUCGCAUGAACAACCUAUGUUCAUGGUAUUUUACAUCUCAUUGGUUGAGUUUUUUGAAAAAUUUUGCUUUAACUGCAAGGCUGAAAAUCCAAAAGUACACAUUAAAAACAUCGGUUCGAUGGCCAUUGUAGAACAAAAUUGUGGUAAAUGUGUUGAAAAGAACUUUAUGUGGAGAAGCCAACCUAUGGUUUUGGGAAGAUAUCCAGCUGGAAACGUUAUGACUAGUUUUGGUAUAUUGAUGUCUGGUGUCAGUAUAAGUCAGGCCAUGCUGAUGUUCAAGCACAUGAAUCUCUUAGCAAAUAGUGUGUGCACUUAUCAUGUGCAUCAACGCACCUUCUUGUUUCCAGCUAUUCUGAAGCAUUGAGAAAGCUAUCAGUGAAAGUUAAUUGAAGAUGUGAAAAAAAGUGAUGUGGAUUUCCAGACAUGGUCAGGAGAUGGACGCUUUGAUUCUAUGGGGCACAGUGCGAAAUAUGGAGUCUACACAAUUUGGAGCAACACAACAUCAAAGCUGGUUCAUUUUGAAUUGCUUCAGGCCAAUGAAGUUGGUAGCAGUAAUGCCAUGGAACUGGAGGAAGCAAAAAGAUCUUUUCAGUUUCUUGAGAAAUCUGGGGUUACCAUGGAUGUUUUCAUCAGUUACAGGCCCAAAGGGAUUGCAAAGUGGAUCCGGAACGAAAAAAAAAGAAACAAAGCACUUAAAUAAAAGUAUUGCUAAACAACUUAAGAUGGCAGGCAAAGAGAAAGGGUGUGAAAUAAUCAAUGAAUGGUUGGGUGGUAUUCGCCAACAUUUGUAUUGGAGUGCUCAAACUACUAUACUUGGCUUUGAAGAGCUUAUUGUUGCUAAAUGGAAAUCUACUGUGAGAAACAUGGCUAACAAGCAUGAUAACCACCCCGAUGCAUUAUUCCCAUUGUGUGCUCAUUGUCAGAUCCCAGAGCGGAAAUGGAUACCAAUAGGAACUAUUGCAUAUGAUAAGAUAUGCUCUAUCCUACUCAAGCCAAGCAUUUUGAAAGACAUCGGCAAACUUUCACCAGAUGGCCAGACUAGUUGUCCUUCAAGGCUUUCAUUCCACCCUGAACCAUUGGCAUCCAAAAAUGACUCGUUUUUCAUAGCUUGGAACAUUUUGCAGACUUGUUAUUGCCAUACUUCAUUUCAAUGAAAAUGUUCAUCAUCAGUCGAAAAAAUCAAAGGAUGGACAAGUGGUGUAUAACAUAAAUUUCCCUAAGUAUAAGUUGGGUGAGGAAGUAGUGCGGGAAGUGUCUGUGAAGCCAUCUUAUGAAUAUGUUGAACAAUUAAAGAAUGUUCUUUUCAUGUCUAAUAAACAAGAACUUUCAACUAUAAUGGAAGAUAUAGAGGAAAAGCACCCGAACCUUUGUGCAGCCAGUUUCCCACCAAACGAUCCAAGGCUGAGGCAAUAAAAAAAUAUGUUGCGAGGAACAAGCAUGUCAGUCAUGCACUUUAUCCAUGCUUGGAACAGCAAAGACAGAAGUUACAAGACCUAACAGAUGAUGUGGAUCAAAUAUUAAAUAGCGCUGGGAAUAAAAGUACUCGCAAUUGUACUAAAUGCAAAGCUCCAAUGAAAGGACAUCCUCGAGGUCAAUGCUCCACUGAAAAAGAAUAAAUUGAAGUUGGUAGAUGAUAGGGCAGUGGUCAGACAUUGCUUGGAGCCUGUCUGGAAUGGAGAAGUAAGGCACCUCCUUCCCACCACCAGCCUGAGGGUUCACCUUAGGCAAGUGAUAGUACCCUCUAGCCUCCCUAUCUGGGCGCUGAUAUACACACCUUUCCUGAUGAUUACAGUAUUAAUAUAACAUUGAAUGGUAUGUAUACUUGUCAGAUUGAAGAUGACUAUCUCACUCGAUAGUACAGCAUGGCCAUUUUGUGAAAGACAAAAGUUAAUACCAAGAGGGGACUCGUGGUGUACUUUUGUCAUCCGAAGGAUGUUAAUAAUCUCAUCGAUAUCUUGGGUUUUAUUACAUAAAGAUCGAAUUUCUUGUCGGUCUGAUAUACAAGCAACAUGUGCACAACUUAACUCAGUCUUUUCUAUCCUUCCUACAAAACAUUGUCGCUGUACCAGAUGAUUCUAUGCUAAAAUUUUCAUUUUCUCUAAACUUUAAAUUUGAUAAAUAACGAAAUGUAGGCGAUGAUUUUUUGGCAUAACGAAAUUCAACAUACUCCGAGGUCAAUGCUCCACUGAAAAAGAAUAAAUUGAAGCUGGUAGAUGAUAGGGCAGUGGUCAGACAUUGCUUGGAGCCUGUCUGGAAUGGAGAAGUAAGGCACCUCCUUCCCACCACCAGCCUGAGGGUUCACCUUAGGCAAGUGAUAGUACCCUCUAGCCUCCCUAUCUGGGCACUCAU